UUGGUUAUAUACAAGUUGCAGUGUGGGACGUGUACAUAAAACAAAGUAAUAGAAAAUCGUCGAUAGUCGACAUUGGCAGGUUCAUCUUUCUGAAUCCAGUAGUGGUUAUCCCCAGUACAGAAAACCCAAAGAUGGCUUUGAUCCAAAACAAUGUAGCAGUGUUGCUGUUAUAUGUAGCGCUGAUUGAGAGCUGUGCAAGUGCACCCGAGAAUUGUACAAGGAAUAUAAAAUUUGUAUCGGAAGAUCUACGUCAGCUACGCAGGCUUGUUGGUGAAUGGGUGCUUAUCAAUUGCACAGUUAAUUACCAUGACAUUAAUGUUCAACUUUUGGAUGAAAACGAGAAGCCUUUACAUUUGAGAACAAAA